UUUCACCUUUGUAACAUGCAAAAAAACAACUCAAGAUUAAAAGUCUUUUCAAUAAGCACUUGAAAGAAGCUGGAAAAUAAUUGAUAAGUUAAUCAGUUUAAGGCUUUGCACAGAGAACCAACGUGAACACCCAAAAGGGUAUUUCCCAACCAGUUCAAACAAUAACUAAUCCACAAAAAUCAAAUCCCAUGACAUAUGGGAUAAGCUAAAGUAAACCUGACAAGUUAUCUUAAGACUUAAUAAACUCAUCAUGAAAAAGAACAUAUAUACCCAGAGAACAGGAUAAGAACAGCGUGAAUUUUCUGCAAGAAAUCCAUAGAUAACCCUAACAUUCACACAACAAUCAAAAACAAAUUUUUUUCAUUCAACACAAAACAUUCAGAGAGAAGA